rnacentral:rRNA from 1 species
ACUCAUACAUCGCAUUCAAUACUGCAGUUCUGGAGAAUGGUAGAGGAAAACGGAACUUCCGGUGUAGCGGUGAAAUGCGUAGAUAUCGGAAGGAACACCAGUGGCGAAGGCGGUUUUCUGGGCCAUUUCUGACGCUGAGGCGCGAAAGCUAAGGGAGCAAACAGGAUUAGAUACCCUGGUAGUCUUAGCUGUAAACUAUGGUCACUAGGUGUUUGUGGUAUCGACCCCAUGAGUGCCGAAGUUAACAUGAUUAGUGACCCGCCUGGGGAGUACGGUCGCAAGACUAAAACUCAAAAGAAUUGACGGGGGCCCGCACAAGCGGUGGAGCAUGUGGUUCAAUUCGAUGCUACGCGAAGAACCUUACCUAGGCUUGACAUGUAUGGAAUCUGUGGGAAACCAUAGAGUGCCUCGCAAGAGGAGCCAUAACACAGGUGCUG